GGGACAGAUCUCUGCUACAAUGACACCCUAGAAAUAAUGCCGAUUUAUCUGCCAGGGAGCCACCCAGCACCGAAGACCAGGGCGCAUGACACACCAUCACUUCUGCUGUCUUUCCUCUCCCGAGGCCGCCGUUCUGGUUGUGGCUCAUCCAGCUGAGGCUGCAGUUCCUCCUGCCCCCCACUGUAGCCACUCCUCUACGUCUCAUUCCCUAGCAGCUGCGCCAACAGGCCUGGCCCUCCAAGACGGAGGCUGCUCCGCUGGCUGGGAGGUGCUAGCAGAGCAAGCGUCUUCCUCAGGAGCACUCCAAGGCUUUGGAUUCAGCUUGGGUCUCGGGGGGGCCUCUGUCAUCACCCCUAUCAGCUCCAUGACCGAUCAUCACAUCCCUCACAUCUGCCCUCAGAGCGGGCCCGCCUCCUCUGCCAUCAGCAUCCCUUCGGCACCCACUACCACGUCUCUUCUGCCACUGCCUGGUCCUGGAGGCACAGCCUCUCAUAGGCUCUGCUGCCUCUGUCAUCAUAGCAACCCGGCCACCAUCGGAAUCCAGACCCCAUGCAGGCCAUCACAGUAACUGUCCCCACACCCAUCACAGUAUCGGUCUGAAUCAUACUGAUCUCGAUCUCCAUACUUGUCUCCAAAGCUGUCACCGCCUAUUCCAGGACGGGAGAUAAAGUGUCCUGAGAACACUGACUGGCAUGUGGAGUCCCUCCUCGCCACAAGCCGCCCUGCGGGCAGCGCUCUGGACGAGACACCUGAGUCCUUGGAACAUUCCUGUGAGUUGGCUCCUGAUUAUCUCCGUAAGGAGCUCUAAUUGCAAGGAAAGGGCACAUAAAACAGGAAGUGCACGGUGGGGCUAGGGGGGUACUGGAGGCAGGGACAGGCUUCACCAUUUCAGGAACUGGCUCCCCCAAACAGUCACAGGCUGGCAGCCAGCUGCCAGGAGUUCUGUCCCACC